rnacentral:rRNA from 1 species
UGCAAGUCGAGCGGUAACGGGUCCAGCUUGCUGGAUGCCGACGAGCGGCGGACGGGUGAGUAAUGCAUAGGAAUCUGCCCAGUCGUGGGGGAUAACCUGGGGAAACUCAGGCUAAUACCGCAUACGUCCUACGGGAGAAAGCGGGGGCUCUUCGGACCUCGCGCGAUUGGAUGAGCCUAUGUCGGAUUAGCUAGUUGGUGAGGUAACGGCUCACCAAGGCGACGAUCCGUAGCUGGUCUGAGAGGAUGAUCAGCCACACCGGGACUGAGACACGGCCCGGACUCCUACGGGAGGCAGCAGUGGGGAAUAUUGGACAAUGGGCGCAAGCCUGAUCCAGCCAUGCCGCGUGUGUGAAGAAGGCUUUCGGGUUGUAAAGCACUUUCAGUGGGGAAGAAAGCGUGCCGGCCAAUACCCGGUACGGACGACAUCACCCACAGAAGAAGCACCGGCUAACUCCGUGCCAGCAGCCGCGGUAAUACGGAGGGUGCGAGCGUUAAUCGGAAUUACUGGGCGUAAAGCGCGCGUAGGCGGCUAAGUAAGCCGGUUGUGAAAGCCCCGGGCUCAACCUGGGAAUGGCAUCCGGAACUGUUUAGCUAGAGUGCAGGAGAGGAAGGUAGAAUUCCCGGUGUAGCGGUGAAAUGCGUAGAGAUCGGGAGGAAUACCAGUGGCGAAGGCGGCCUUCUGGACUGACACUGACGCUGAGGUGCGAAAGCAUGGGUAGCAAACAGGAUUAGAUACCCUGGUAGUCCAUGCCGUAAACGAUGUCGACUAGCCGUUGGGUCCCUUGAGGACUUAGUGGCGCAGUUAACGCGAUAAGUCGACCGCCUGGGGAGUACGGCCGCAAGGUUAAAACUCAAAUGAAUUGACGGGGGCCCGCACAAGCGGUGGAGCAUGUGGUUUAAUUCGAUGCAACGCGAAGAACCUUACCUACCCUUGACAUCCUGCGAACCCUCCGGAGACGGAGGGGUGCCUUCGGGAYCGCAGAGACAGGUGCUGCAUGGCUGUCGUCAGCUCGUGUUGUGAAAUGUUGGGUUAAGUCCCGUAACGAGCGCAACCCUUGUCCUUAUUUGCCAGCACGUAAAGGUGGGAACUCUAAGGAGACUGCCGGUGACAAACCGGAGGAAGGUGGGGACGACGUCAAGUCAUCAUGGCCCUUACGGGUAGGGCUACACACGUGCUACAAUGGCCGGUACAAAGGGUUGCAAUCCCGCGAGGGGGAGCCAAUCUCAUAAAGCCGGUCUCAGUCCGGAUCGGAGUCUGCAACUCGACUCCGUGAAGUCGGAAUCGCUAGUAAUCGUGCAUCAGAAUGGCACGGUGAAUACGUUCCCGGGCCUUGUACACACCGCCCGUCACACCAUGGGAGUGGACUGCACCAGAAGUGGUUAGCCUAACUUCGGAGGGCG